rnacentral:rRNA from 1 species
GACGAACGCUGGCGGCGCGCUUAACACAUGCAAGUCGAGCGAAGCGGCGGACGGGUGAGUAACACGUGAGUAACCUGCCUUAGACAUUGGGAUAGCCUCGGGAAACCGGGAUUAAUACCAAAUGGUCUAAGAUGGACUCGCGUCCCAUUAGCUAGUCGGUGUGGUAACGGCCCACCAAGGCGACGAUGGGUAGCCGGCCUGCGAGAGUGAGCGGAGACAUUGGAAGUGAGAAGCAGUACAGACUCUACGGGAGGCAGCAGUGGGGAAUAGUGCAAAAUGGAGGGAACGCUGAUGCAGCGACGCCGCGUGAACGAAGAAGGCUUUCGAGUCGUAAAGUUCUUUUAUAUGGGAAGCGGUACCAAAAGAAAAAGCCCCGGCUAACUACGUGCCAGCAGCCGCGGUAAUUC